rnacentral:misc_RNA from 1 species
AACAUCAUGCAUGUUCAUAAUGCCAAGUAGCCUGACGUUACUUGACGGCGACUUGUAUUUUGAUUGCUUCUUAAGUUCUAAUAAAGGUGAAAUGGCUGAAUUUACUCCAAACGAAGAUAUAUUUGACGAUGUCGUUAUGGCAGAAGAAAGAUUCCAAGAGGAGGGAUACCGAGAAGGCUUUGCCGCCGGCAAGCGGGCCGGAGAGCAAGAGGGCUUCAAGAUGGGGCAAAUCAAGGGCAGGGAGAUAGGGUCCGAGUAUGGCUUCUAUCUGGGCUUUGUGGCCAUGUGGCUAUGGCUUGUCAAGGAAGACGCCGGAUUGGCAAGAGCAAAAACAGUGAAAGCGCUUGAAACACUGCAUGCCAUGCUGGCUUCCUUCAAAGUUGAGGAUGUAACCAGUGAAAGUUACUGGGACGAUUUCAGGCAGAUCAGAGACAAGUUCAAGCAGGUUGUUUCGCUUCUCGGCAUAAAACUGGAUUUCACUGAGGAGAGAAGCCAGAAACCACCGAUUUCAUUUUGAGUAAAGCACGUCAGCAGGUGGCACUUGUGUUGGUGUGCGGGAGACGUUGCGAGGAUGUUAGUCAAAGGAAACUGCCCCAUGCAGCAGGAGUGGUGCUGCAGGGACUUCUGUAUUCCCAGAGGAAGACAAGGGCAGGAGUGAUGUCCUAGGAGGAAAAGCCUGACCGAGAGGUUGCAGGUAACUGCAGUGCUUUGAGGCUGCUCAAGAUGUGACAAAGUCCAGGGUUGUUUACUGCUGGCCGCAUGAUUAAAAUGCUAGAAAAUGGGACUUACGAGGAACCUGAGUUGAUGACUGAAGUAGACAUGAUUCUGUGAAUCACCCCUCCACAGCUUUAUAAUCUACCUUACCUUUUAGUGGCAAGGGGUGUAUGAAAUGAUGCAUCAUGACGUGCCGUGAUCUUAGCAUAUGCACAUGACAACUGGGAUGCGAUAAUUAUAGCAUGAAGAUCUGUAUCAUGAUACCUUGCUCAGAAUAGAUUCAGGCAAAAGUCUUACUUUUUCAGGCUGUAGAAUUUCCGUUUGUGUAUAACGUGUUCUCUUGCGAGCAGGAAAAGUGGUGGAAAAAAUGCUCUACGGUUGCCAUUGUAAAUGAUUGGCUUCAACAAUAUUCGAGACGUUCGAAACGUACCCCAGUUAUUCUAGGGUCAGAAAGCUGGUGAUAGGGUAAGAAUCAAAUCUUUGCCUCGCUGCUUGUUCUGACGACGUUUCCAGAGAUAAUUUUAUCGAACGUGUUUAGACUUGCUUUGAUCCCUUGAAAUCACAGCGCAUUUAUUGCACAUCAGGUCCAUCAACUGGUUGAAAUUUUCCGGGGGGGGGCAUGAGAAUAGUCUCCCUGAAACUGCUCCGCUGUGAAAGAGCAGCCGUAAGGCUUAAUGGAACAUAGAAUGUAAUGGGAUUAGAAUCAGAAGUUGAAGAAAAGGGAAAGCCUGGGGAUUUGUGUUUGGAGUUGGAAUCUAUUAAUGGUAUGAUGGCCAGUGUGGAUAAUUGUUCAUUUUGUUGUUGGCUGCCAGCAAGAUUUAUGUAUUGACCAUGGUCAGCGGUAUAAAUUUGUGCUGGAAACUGGGGGGGGGGAUGUGGGAUGGGGAAAGGCACGGGGUGACAUUAAAAUUUGAAAAGGGGGGACACUAUAUGACUGUAUAUAGAGGUUGAUAAUCAUGAUUUUAUUUUACAUCUGUAAUAUGUAUUCAACGGGCAUAUUUAUGGCUUUUUAAACUUAUUUUCCCCUUGUCGAGUGAUAUUGAAUGGGUUUGCGUUGUUUGAAGUCUGAAAAAUUCUUCACAACCCAACCAACUUAAUUUUUUGGCUCACCACAAAAAAGUGGGGUAUGAUUCAAUAGC